UCUUAUAUGCUUAAUUAAACAUUGUAUAUAUAACAUUGUUAGCGGAUUGUUUGUACACUGUGACAAUAAGAGUAUUGUUAACCAGGCAACAUGAAGUACUUCAUCAUAUUCGUCUUUUGUAUCGUCGCUAUAACAAAUGUUAUGGCACAGAGUGGUGUGACAUGCUACACCAACGACGACUGUAAUCAUAUUUGCAACCGAAGAUGUGACUUGUACUCAACUAUAGGUGUAUGCUCCAACUACAUCUGUUAUUGCAUGGUCGUAAACCAAGGAGUUGGAUCCCUGCCGUUAUCGGCACGCCCUUGAAUAAAAAAAGACAUGUUAUGA